rnacentral:rRNA from 1 species
UACGAAGGGGGCUAGCGUUGCUCGGAAUCACUGGGCGUAAAGGGCGCGUAGGCGGCCCUCUAAGUCAGACGUGAAAUCCCACGGCUCAACCGUGGAACUGCGUCUGAUACUGGAGGGCUUGAAUCCGGGAGAGGGAUGUGGAAUUCCAGGUGUAGCGGUGAAAUGCGUAGAUAUCUGGAGGAACACCGGUGGCGAAGGCGACAUCCUGGACCGGUAUUGACGCUGAGGCGCGAAAGCCAGGGGAGCAAACGGG